rnacentral:rRNA from 1 species
UACGUAGGGUCCGAGCGUUGUCCGGAAUUACUGGGCGUAAAGAGCUCGUAGGUGGUUUGUCGCGUUGUUCGUGAAAACUCACAGCUCAACUGUGGGCGUGCGGGCGAUACGGGCAGACUAGAGUACUGCAGGGGAGACUGGAAUUCCUGGUGUAGCGGUGGAAUGCGCAGAUAUCAGGAGGAACACCAGCGGCGAAGGCGGCGCUCUGGGCCGGAACUGACGCUGAGGAGCGAAAGCGUGGGUAGCAAACAGG